rnacentral:lncRNA from 1 species
AUGAUGGUGUGGUGGUGGGAUGAACUGUGUCACUCUAGUAUUGUUUCCUACACUUCCUACACAAAACAAACUUUCUAUUUGAACCUCACUCGUAGAAAUAAUUGUUGCAAAUAUUAAAAUUAAAAGGGAAAACGUUUAUUUUGUAUUUAAAGAAAUAAAAGUGAUUAAUUGAAGACCUGAACCGGGUCUGGCCCGACCCAAGACCUACCCUGCAAAUCAGCCCCAUUGUUUCCGUGUUUACUUCUUCUUCUUUCACAUCGUAAACCACCAUCUCCGGUGAACCACAACCACCGCCGCCACUGCUUCAAUCAGACAACACUUUCUCCUUUUGUAAAGGUACCUGUCUUAGAUGUCAUUGCAGGGGAUAUGAUAUUUGGCCAUCCAGAGAUUCUCAAUCUCAAAAGUGAAAGGCAACAACAUUUCUCGUAUAUGUAUUAUCUUUCGGUAGUUGUUAAUGGUGAGAUGCUAAAGGGAUGUGAGGUGUUGGAGUCCAACCGAAAGUGAUUCCAGUUUAUCAAAUUUCAAGUCGAAGCUCUGUAAGAGUGGAAGGAAGAAGAAGGGACAAUUGACUAAAAUUACUGAGAUGUUCGCAACGUUACGUUAGGUGAACAAGGGAAGUUGGAAAAUUUUAAGGGCUCCACUAUGACAAAGGCUUGUUCAAACACCCCCCCCCCCCCCCCCCCCCCCCGCCCCCCCUAUUAAUUGGAAACACAAUUUGCUGAGCAUGAGCACCAACGUAGUGAGACAAAUACUACUAGUGAGAAACUUGUGAAUAAACAUAUAAUGAGCUACAAAGUUCAAGAUGGUGCUGCAGAAUAUAAAGCGUGUGUCAUGGUCCUUUUUACGUUGAGCUAGAAAAUGCAGCAGUAUGGUCCUUUUCAAAAAUAUUGUUUUGUGCUGCUCAUUGUCUUGUAAAUGUUCUUGUAACUCUUUGUAAUAUGAUAUGGUUAUAUAAUUAUAAGAUUUUGUGAUUUUGUUCU